ACACUAGUGAUAUUUCUAUUGGAAAAAUAAAUUCCUAAUUUUUUAUGAUCUCAGCAUCAAGAGGCUCAAUACUUUUCUUUGCAGGUGCUGACCUAAAGGAGGUAAGAGAUGUUGAUAAUAGUCUUGAAACUGGAACCCCACAGCUAUAUGCCCAGAAACAGGGUGACUGUGCAGCCUACACUGACCUCCACACUGACUUGGAUGGAGAGCUACUGAUACCACAGUUAGAUAGUUUAAAGUAGAAUCACAGAAUAUUGGAAAUCCAAGCCUUGAAGGGACCUCAAGGAAACAUCCAACUUACUACAACGAGGCAGGAUCAAGGAUGCCUGGAUCACCCCUGACAGAUACUUGUCUAAUCUGUUCUUAAAAACCAUUUAUUCCAUCACAUCCCUAGGUAGCUUGUUCUAAUGUUUUGCCACCCUACUAGUUAGAAGGUUUUUCCUAAUGUCCAACUUAAAUAUUCCUUCCUAAAAAGCAAGCUGAUUUCUUCUUAUUUUUCCACCAAUGGCUUGGAAAACAACUGAUCAACAACCUCUUACAAACAACCUUUUAUACAUUUAAGUCAUGCCUCCCCUCAUUCAUCUCUUUACAUGACUAAAUAAGCCCUAUUCCUUCAACCUUUCCUCAUAAGUCAUAUUUACUAAAUCAUUUUUAAUGUUAGUGGUGAAUUGCCUUCUCAAACCAAUCCUGUCAAAAACAUAUUUUAUCAUCCCACUCAAGGGGCUACAAAAAUCCUAUUCAGAAGUCUCCUGCACACUGCUCAGGAGCAAUCUAAACUUUUAAAAUUUGAUAGUCCUUAAAGUGGACAAAAUUCUCAAGGGCAGUGGGUGACCAGAACCAGACAAGUGAUAAUGGUGACAUCUUCUCUAGAUCUAUAAUUUGUAGACUGGAAUGCUACAGUGUGGAAUUAGAAAGGAGGGUUUGAGAGCUAUAAGGAUUUGUUUACUCUUUCUUUAAACUUUUAGAUGAAAGCCAGUCAUGAGAAUGGUGAGGAAUGGUGAGAAAAUUUUCAGCAGCAGCGUUACAGUAAAGUGAAAAGAGACAGAGUGGCUUUAAAGAUAACAUAGCUUCCUUUAUGCUAAUAUAAUUCCAUGUUCAGUGUUAGAAGAAACCUGUUCCUUCUGUGACUUGUCAUCAAUGUCACAUGACAAACACCAAGGUAAGAAAUGGGGCAGAAGAACAGCUUGGGCCUUUCAGGAUAGCUGAUGAGUAGCAUAAAGAAAAGGAUGUAGAUAGAGAAGUACUGACAUAUGUACAAAUAUGUGCCAGUCAGAGUAAGCCAAGACUACUAGGAUUUCUUCUUAGGGAGAGAGAAACCUUUGUGAUUUAUCAUUCACAUUUAUCUUGUACUGACAAACAAUAAAUAACAAUUUGUGUAUGACA
rnacentral:lncRNA from 1 species